rnacentral:rRNA from 1 species
UAGAGUUUGAUCAUGGCUCAGGAUGAACGCUAGCGACAGGCUUAACACAUGCAAGUCGAGGGGCAGCGGGGAGGUAGCAAUACUUCCGCCGGCGACCGGCGCACGGGUGAGUAACACGUAUGCAACCUGCCCUCCACAGGGGGACAACCUUCCGAAAGGGAGGCUAAUCCCGCGUAAAUCUCGAUGGGGCAUCCCAUUGAGAGGAAAGCUUCGGCGGUGGAGGAUGGGCAUGCGGCGCAUUAGCUAGUCGGCGGGGUAACGGCCCACCGAGGCGACGAUGCGUAGGGGUUCUGAGAGGAAGGUCCCCCACACUGGUACUGAGACACGGACCAGACUCCUACGGGAGGCAGCAGUGAGGAAUAUUGGUCAAUGGGCGGGAGCCUGAACCAGCCAAGCCGCGUGAGGGAAUAAGGCCCUAUGGGUCGUAAACCUCUUUUGUCGGGGAACAAAAGCGGGGACGCGUCCCCGUCUGCGUGUACCCGAAGAAAAAGCAUCGGCUAACUCCGUGCCAGCAGCCGCGGUAAUACGGAGGAUGCGAGCGUUAUCCGGAUUUAUUGGGUUUAAAGGGUGCGUAGGCGGUAUGGUAAGUCAGCGGUAAAAGCCCGGGGCUCAACCCCGGCGAGCCGUUGAAACUGGCGUUCUUGAGUGGGCGAGAAGUAUGCGGAAUGCGUGGUGUAGCGGUGAAAUGCAUAGAUAUCACGCAGAACUCCGAUUGCGAAGGCAGCAUACCGGCGCCCUACUGACGCUGAGGCACGAAAGCGUGGGUAUCGAACAGGAUUAGAUACCCUGGUAGUCCACGCAGUAAACGAUGAAUGCUAACUGUCCGGUGCGAGUGAGCGCUGGGCGGUACAGCGAAAGCGUUAAGCAUUCCACCUGGGGAGUACGCCGGCAACGGUGAAACUCAAAGGAAUUGACGGGGGCCCGCACAAGCGGAGGAACAUGUGGUUUAAUUCGAUGAUACGCGAGGAACCUUACCCGGGCUCAAACGCAGGCUGACGGGUCCCGAAAGGGGCCUUUCUUCGGACAUUCUGCGAGGUGCUGCAUGGUUGUCGUCAGCUCGUGCCGUGAGGUGUCGGCUUAAGUGCCAUAACGAGCGCAACCCCUGUCCACAGUUGCCAGCAGGUAAAGCUGGGGACUCUGUGGAGACUGCCGGCGCAAGCUGCGAGGAAGGCGGGGAUGACGUCAAAUCAGCACGGCCCUUACGUCCGGGGCGACACACGUGUUACAAUGGCAGGUACAGCGGGAUGCCACGGGGCGACCCGGCGCUGAACCCGAAAACCUGUCUCAGUUCGGAUUGGAGUCUGCAACCCGACUCCAUGAAGCUGGAUUCGCUAGUAAUCGCGCAUCAGCCACGGCGCGGUGAAUACGUUCCCGGGCCUUGUACACACCGCCCGUCAAGCCAUGGAAGCCGGGGGUACCUGAAGUGCGUGACCGCGAGGAGCGCCCUAGGGUAAAACCGGUGACUGGGGCUAAGUCGUAACAAGGUAACCGUA